rnacentral:snRNA from 1 species
UAACUCUUGUUUCAUUUCAAUAUACGAAACGUUUAAAUCUUUCGCCUUUUACUAAAGAUUUUCGUGGAAUGGAACAAUUAAAAGAGUUUUAAACACUUUUUAAAGCCCUCAGGGUUA